rnacentral:lncRNA from 1 species
CGGGUUACGAGGGCGUGGCGGGCAGCCCGUGACGAUACAGCGACACAACGCGCCGGACCGACGCCGCGACCAUCACGACCCACACAAUCGUGCCGGGGCGUGCGUAGAGAGCGUCGAGCGAGGGCGAAAUGAGGGAUGCCGCCGGAGUGGCGAUGCACAGGUUCCACACGCUCCAUACGACGGCAGAGACCGAAAGCGUCACGGCAGCGCGCGCCAGCGCAGGCAGCGCACAGUGGACCACGCCGGCCGGCCCGUGGGCCAACAGCCCAAAGGCGGCCUCCUCGGCGGCAAUCGAGGCGACGGCAUAGGCCACCAAGGACGUCGGCCGCUGCCUAUAGAGGUAUGCGGCCGUGGCGCAGCGCAAGGUGGCAUGAAACCCCAGAUUUAGUCCCCGCAUCACGACAUUGUCGCCGUCGACGGAUCGCUGUGUGCGCAGACACGCCAUCGUGGCGGCCACGACGCCGCACAGCGCGGCGGAUGGAGUCACCAUUGCAGCCAUUGACCGGACCGCGUGCUGCAGCCGGACCGCGGCCGUCGUUGUGGCCGUCGCCAGUGUUGCCAUCAUGCUCUCCAUUGUCGGGUUACUUUUUUCCUCGAUCGGUACCGUUGUUGCGACGGGGCGCCUACCGCAAAGCGACGAGACGAAAAGGGAAGAAAAAAGAGAAAAGGUGUGCUUGUCGAGCGCGGCGGUGCCGAUAGGGUUGCCGUGCGUGAUAUAGGAAUAAAAAAAAGAAGAAGGAAAAGCAUGGUACGGU